AUGACAUUUAGGGGGAGAAAAUAGUUCAAGAAUGCUGUUGUGAAAUAUGGUCUAGUAGUGAGGAGACAAAUUACCUUCAUAAAGGAUGAGGCUAAUAGGAUUAGAGCAAAAUGCUCUUGGCCUGAGUGUCCAUGGUUGAUAUAUGCU
rnacentral:rRNA from 1 species